GACGAACGCUGGCGGCGUGCUUAACACAUGCAAGUCGAACGGAAAGGCCCUGCUUUUGUGGGGUGCUCGAGUGGCGAACGGGUGAGUAACACGUGAGUAACCUGCCCUUGACUUUGGGAUAACUUCAGGAAACUGGGGCUAAUACCGGAUAGGAGCUCCUGCUGCAUGGUGGGGGUUGGAAAGUUUCGGCGGUUGGGGAUGGACUCGCGGCUUAUCAGCUUGUUGGUGGUGUAGUGGCUUACCAAGGCUUUGACGGGUAGCCGGCCUGAGAGGGUGACCGGCCACAUUGGGACUGAGAUACGGACCAGACUCCUACGGGAGGCAGCAGUGGGGAAUAUUGCACAAUGGGCGGAAGCCUGAUGCAGCAACGCCGCGUGCGGGAUGACGGCCUUCGGGUUGUAAACCGCUUUCGCCUGUGACGAAGCGUGAGUGACGGUAAUGGGUAAAGAAGCACCGGCUAACUACGUG
rnacentral:rRNA from 1 species